rnacentral:lncRNA from 1 species
CACAAAAGAACACUAAUUUCUGGAAAUGUCAUACAAAGUGGUUGCUGCCAUGUUGUCUGUGUAGUUCAGAGCAGCAGUGGAAGUGUCUGUGUGGCUCCGCACUCUGACUCAACUCUGACUCAAGCUUCUUUUAUCUUUCUAGUAAAAACAGUUCAGGUCUGUUCAGGCACUACAUAUAUAUCUCUUUGACAUGUGUGUUUUUUUUUUUUUUUUUUUUUUUUAAAUCUUUUCUUAGAACCUGGAAGCCAGGCCAAUGUCUGCUGUCUGCCAUGUGAGGACACAGUGGGAAGAUGGAAGCUUACAAGCCAGAAAGAAGACCCUUUCAAGAAUCUGACCAUGCUGGCAUCCUGACCUUGGACCUCUAGACUGUGGGAAAUAAUGUCUGUUGUUUUGACUGCCUGGUUUAUGGUAUAUCACUGUGGCAGACUGAGCUAAGACAAAAGUCAUUUUCUAAGGUCAGAAGCUCAGAAUAAAGAACCAUUUCUACCUAAGACCAGCACAUUUUUCCACACAUGGUGCUUUUUAUGAGAACCGUGUCUGCAGUAGAACAACCUGAAAGGACUGAAACGAUCUUCUCCAGUUUAACUGUCCUGAAGACAGCGUCACGGUUGACAGACUUAAUCAGAUGUCUCUCCCUGUCACUUGCAAAUCCACUUUUGAUAUUUUUCUUAACUUGGGCCCCUUGGGCUCCACCCUCUCUCCAGACCAGAGUGGGAGCUGCUCUCUGGAAAGCUGGUCUGGAACCAGCUAUAGGGAAGAGUGAG